AUGAACGCUAGCAGAACGCCUAACACAUGCAAGUCGAACGAGUAGUAAUACUAGUGGCAAACGGGCGAGUAACACGUAUCUAACCUACCCUCGAGCGAGGCAUAACUAUGGAGACAUAGCUAAUUCCUCAUAUCCCCCAAUGAAUGAAAAUAGUUGGGGAAAAGGUCUACCACUUGGGGAGGGGGAUGCGUCCUAUCAGGUAGUUGGUGAGGUAAUGGCUCACCAAGCCUAUGACGGGUAGCCGGUCUGAGAGGAUGUCCGGCCGCAAUGGGACUGAGAAACGGCCCAUACUCCUACGGGAGGCAGCAGUGGGGAAUAUUGGACAAUGGGCGAAAGCCUGAUCCAGCGAUUCUGCGUGAAGGAUGAAGCCUCGUGGGGUGUAAACUUCUUUUCUGGGGGAAGACGAAUGACGGUACCUCAGGAAUAAGAGACGGCUAACUACGUGCCAGCAGCCGCGGUAAUACGUAGGUCUCAAGCGUUAUCCGGAAUUACUGGGCGUAAAGCGUCCGCAGCCGGAUGUAUAAGUCUGUCUUUAAAUAUCCCGAUUCAAUCGGGAAAAAGGGAUAGAUACUGUAUGUCUAGAGGACUUUAGAGGUUAGUGGAAUUUCCGGUGGAGCGGUGAAAUGCGUUGAUAUCGGAAGGAAUGCCAAAAGCGAAAGCAGCUAUCUAUAAAGUAUCUGACGGUCAGGGACGACAGCUUGGGGAGCAAACGGGAUUAGAUACCCCGGUAGUCCAAGCCGUAAAUGAUGUUCGCUAGAUGUUUGUCUCGCUCUGCGGGAUGAGUGUCGUACCUAACGGGUUAAGCGAAUCGCCUGGGAAGUAUACUCGCAAGAGUGAAACUCAAAGGGAUAGGCGGGGGAACACACAAGCAGUGGAUUAUCUAGAU
rnacentral:rRNA from 1 species